GCUGGUGUAGCACAGUUGGCAGUGAUGUUCACUCGUAAUGAAGAGAUUCGAAUCCUCUCACCAGCA
rnacentral:tRNA from 2 species